AGUAUAGUCAGCUAAUUAAGCUCUUGGGCCCAUACCCCAAAAAUGUUGGUUUAAAUCCCUCCUGUACUA
rnacentral:tRNA from 1 species